AGAGAGGGAACACAAGCAGCGGGAGUGGGAGAGGGAGAACCAGGCCGCCGAGCAGGGAGCCCGAUGCGGGGCUCGAUCCCAGACCUGAGCCGAAGGCAGAUGCCCAACGGCUGAGCCACCCAGGCGCCUUGCAACAAAGCAUUUCAAGGGAUUUUAUUUCAUCUUGAACUCCCAACCCCGAGAUCAGGAGCUGCACACUCCGCUGACUGAGCCAGCCACCUGUGAGCUUGCUUUAGGCUGAGUAUCACAACAGAGUGUCUGCAUCAAAAUUUCCUGGAAUGGUAUUAAUACUACAGCAUUUGAUCGUCGAAGGCUGAAAACUGUAUACAAAGGAAGCAAUAAGGUAAGGACGAUCUUAGUUUUGUAUUGCAUUUAUCACAGGAAUGUCUGGAAUACCUUUCAUAUGCAAUUUUCUUUCACUAGAUUCUCACAAUGAUUCCAAGAAGUUCACCCCCCUUUUUUACAGGUAAAUGGAACACUCUUUAGAUUUGUAACCCCUCACUCCACUAUUCUGG
rnacentral:lncRNA from 1 species